rnacentral:misc_RNA from 1 species
AGCGAGGCUAAAGGGUUAGGGGAGAAGUGGAAGAGAGACUUUCCAGAAAGGUUGCCUAAGCAGUCUUGGAACGAAGGCUGCUUCACUAGACUAAUAGGUUUUAGGGGGACACAGCUACCUUUCGGAUAGGGAGGCACAACUACCUUUAUGAAUAAAUUAUCAAACGUCACAAGGAAUGGUAUGAUAGAGGGGAAAGCCUGUUCAAUGAAAGAAAGCACUCACCCACGCUAGGGCUAAAGACUAGAAGUAGAUCUUCUGAUUCAUCAGAUUCUAGCAGAUCUGCAACACUAAUUUUGGUGACUUCCUAGUGCAUCAAUAUUGGAUUCUAGUAGGUUGGCAAAUUUUGAGUCCAGUGGCAGUGUCUUUUGCCAAUGGAAGUGCUCGCUAGAUAUGGAAAUAAAGAAGGCACGCUUUUCUAGACCCUUGUGCCUGGAACAAGGAGCACAUCUAGCCGCAUAAGGCAAGCACUUGCUAAAGAUCGCCUGCCUUUCUCCAAUAGAGGCAUUAGGAUUGAAGCCUUGUAAGUCCCGCACCUAAGAUGCAACUUCAACAACACUGCUGGUGUUUUUUAAGUACAAUAUCAUAUAGAGGAAAGAAUACCACCUUAGAAGGAAAAGAAGAGCAUACUAAAAAAGAACCACACAUGAACAUGUGCAUAUUACAUUCAUGAAGAGAAUCAAGCAACAAAAAAAAGCGAGAGCAUGGCCCAGCAAUGCAAAAUGACAUGGCUCAAUUAGGAAGGAUCAAGACUGGUCACUCUAAGAUGAAUGUGGUCACAGCCAAGAGAAGCCAAGAUUGCUUGGCAUUUCCACAAUAUAUUGCCCAUUGUUUCUGGGAUAAAUAAAGUGAAAAUUAUUACAAAGGACCAAGGAAGAGCCAACACUAUAUGCAAGAUGAGAUACUUUUGCACCCAUACAAGUUUACAAAUUAAAACCAGCUUCUAUGUCUCGAAAAUAUUGUCAUAGUAACAAAAAUUUGGAGAUAAAGCUAAUCUAUUAUCAUGGCAAUAAGUGCCACAGUUUUCCUCCAUGCUAAGCCCAACAAGAAAAAUCUCCCACCAUCAACCAAGUAAUGUGUGAAUGCCACUAACCAAACUCUUCAUUAUAAGCUUGGUCAAUAUUUUCUUAUAGCCUUCAAAAU